UGAGGGGCGAGAGGGGAUGGGGGCUGAGGAGCGAGAGGGGCGAGGGCUAAAGAGUUGAGGAACGAGGGAGGAUGGGAGCAAGGGGUGAGGGGUGAAGGACGAGGGGCUGAUGGAUGAGCCCACAGCCUUACUGGUCAGCAUGUGCCCACACACCUGGUACCAUGCACUCCUGGCCACGCCUGCUCCAAUGAGGCCGUGUAGAAUCCUAGAACCAUGGAAUGGUUUGGGCUGGAAGGGACCUCAAAGCCCACCCAGUUCCAAGCCCUGCCAUGGGCAGGGACACCUCCCACUGGAUCAGGGGCUCCGAGCCCCAUCCAACCUGGCCUUGGGCACCCCCAGGGAUGGGGCAGCCACGGCUUCUCCGGGCAACCUGGGCCAGGGCCUCCACAUCGUGAAGAAUUUCUCCCUAAUGUCCAAUCUAAAUCUUCCCCUCUCUGAUUUAAAGCCAUUCCCUCUCGUCCUAUCGCUCCAAGCCUUUGUGAACAGUCCCUCCACAGCUUUCUUGGAGUCCCUACAGGUACUGGAAGUUUGCUGUGAGAUCUCCUCAGAGCAUUCUCUUCUCCAGGCCGAACAACCCCGACUCUCCAGCCUGUCCUCCUACUGGAGGUGCUACAGCCCUCGUGUCAUCUUUGUGGCCUUUUCAAAGUCAUGCUCCGGUUAUGAUUAUUGUAAUUUUUUUUGGUCGUUCUUACAGUGCAGAAUUUUCUGCUUAACACUUGGCCUUUGUCUGUUUUUUUGUUGCUCUUGGGUCUCCUGGAUGACUGAAGAGAUCGUUCCACACUACAGUUUGGGAUACUCGGUUCUGAGUUUGGCUUUCAAGUACCUGAAAGCAGAGGGGAAUUCUUUGCCCUGCAGUACAGUUCCUGCAUAGGUUUAUUUUGUUUUAUUCAGCCACUGUGUCUUAAAUUUCUUCGUCCUGGUGCAGGAAGGUAGAAGAUGGAUCUGCAGGGAAGGAAGGAGCUACCUGAAGGCCAGUACAUUACGUGUGAGCAGGACACCCUCAUGUGCCGGUGGGGAAGAGACCGGCCUGGCUGAACAGAGAGUUCUAGCCGAAACUCAAGGGGAAAGGAGAGUUUGUGGCCUUUGGAAGAAGAGGCAGCAACCCAGGAGGACUGCAAGGACGUCUUGAAGUUACGCAGGGAGAAAAUUAGAUGGACUGAAGCGCAACCAGAGCUUUACGUGGCUCUGCUUCAUACAUCAUCAGCAAAAGGAGGCUGAGGAGAAUCUCCAUCCUUUAUUGGAUAUGGGGGAAACAGUGACAAAGGAUGGGGAAAACGCUGAGAAACUUUGUCUUCUUUCCCUCCAUUGUUAACAGUCAGACCAGUUCUUCUCCAGGUACUCAGCCCCCUGAUCAGGAACACAGGACUGGGGAGCAGAAUGGAGACCCCAUAAUCCAAGAGGGAAUGGUGAGCAACCUCCUACCCCACCGGACACGCACAAGUCUUUGGGGCUGGAUGGGAUACACACAGCAGUGCUGACCUGGUAGAAGUGCUCACCAAGACACUUUCCAUCAUUUAUCAGUAGUCCUGGCUACCUGUGGAGGUUCCAGUUGACUGAAGGUCAGCAAACAUGAUGCCCAUCUACCAGAAGGGCUGGAAGGAGGAUGUAGGGCACUCCAGGCCUGUCAGCCUGACCUCAGUGCUAGGGAAGGUUAGGGAGCAGAUGACCUUGAGUGCCACCACACGGCACGUAUGGGACAACCAGGCGAUCAGGCCCAGUCAGCGUGGGUUUAGGAAAGGCAGGUCCUGCCUGACCAACCUGAUCUCCUUCUAUGGCAAGGUGACCCUCUCAGUGGACGUUGUCUACGUGAACUUUAGUAAAGCCUUUGGCACCGCUUCCCACAGCACUGUCCUGGACAAACUGGCUGCUCGUGGCUUGGAUGGGUGUACUCUUCACUGGAUAAAAACAGGCUGGAUGCUGGACCGAAGAGUUGUGGUGAACAGAGCUAAAUCCUGUUGGUGUCCAAUCACAGGUGGUGUUCCCAGGGUUCUGGGUUGAAACUGAUUCUGUUUAAUAUCUUUAUCCAUGAUCCAGACAAGGGAAUUGAGUGCUCCCUCAGUGAGUUUGGAGAUGACACCAAGCUGGGAGGGAUUGUUGAUCUCCUGGAGGGCAGGAAGGCUCUGCAGAGGGACCUGGCCAGACUGGAUCCACGAGCUGGAGACCAACAGGAUAAGGUCCAUGAGUGCUGUACACUCAGAUCCAUCACCCAAGCCAUGUUGCUACUCCAAGGUCUAUGAACUUUGUGAGAGUAGAUUUGACAUCUCCUGAGCCAAUUUAGGUUGGACUCGAGUGAAAAUUAUCCAGAAUGCUGAUUUCAAGAAGGUCCUGAUGGUCUCCAUCACAUGGCCUCCACGCUGGCUGUAUGAUGUGAUGGUGUUCUCUUCAUCUUUCCAGUCGUUAACUGACAAUAAAGUUUUGCUGUUGUUUUUGUUUUUA